rnacentral:tRNA from 1 species
UCAGGAUGUGGCUGAGAUAGUUAAGCACCUCACUUACACCGAGAAAACAUCCAUGCAAGUUGGAUCAUCCUGAGCCA